GACGAACCGUGCGAACGUUGUUCGGAAUCACUGGGCUUAAAGGGCGCGUAGGCGGGCAGGCAAGUCAGGGGUGAAAGCCCACGGCUCAACCGUGGAAGUGCCUUUGAUACUGCCGGCCUGGAGGGAGGUAGGGGCGUGCGGAACUUCCGGUGGAGCGGUGAAAUGCGUAGAUAUCGGAAGGAACACCGGUGGCGAAAGCGGCGCGCUGGACCUCUUCUGACGCUGAGGCGCGAAAGCCAGGGGAGCAAACGGG
rnacentral:rRNA from 1 species